rnacentral:rRNA from 1 species
UACGAACCGUACAAACGUUAUUCGGAAUCACUGGGCUUAAAGGGAGCGUAGGCGGGCUAUCAAGUCUGGGGUGAAAUCCCACGGCUCAACCGUGGAACUGCCUCAGAUACUGACGGCCUCGAGGGAGAUAGGGGCAUGCGGAACUGUAGGUGGAGCGGUGAAAUGCGUUGAUAUCUACAGGAACUCCGGUGGCGAAAGCGGCGUGCUGGAUCUCUUCUGACGCUGAGGCUCGAAAGCUAGGGGAGCAAACGGG